ACUCUGUAAAAUUAUCCCCAUCCAAAUUUUGAUACCCAUUUUUCUUGUGACAUAGGAUGUCAUGAAUCUGGAAAGAUCACCUAAAAAGACCAAUGGGAAGCAAUUCCACGAUAACCAUCUUCAUAUACAAGAAGACCAAGAGAAGGCCAUCCAACAGAUCCAGUUGGGGCAGCUUUGUUUCCCAGCUACUACCAGACCCCAGGCUGGCCGCCUUCGGUGCCCAUGUUUGAAGUCUGUGCCCCGAGAGUUGCCAGAGUCCCCGCGCCAAGCCGAGCCCCGGGAGGGCCUCCUGUGGUCUCCUCCGCGGUCCCGCGUCUACCUGAUUAUAAGGUUGCAAAAUGAGUUGACCAAAUGUGGAAUCUUGAAGAACAUGAGCGACUAUGAAGAUUUUUGGAAGUUGAUUGGGGAGGAAGCUCAUGGAACAGAUAUCAAAGAACAGCUCCAGAAGAUAAAAAUUAAAAAUCCAGACAUCUCUGGAACCAGUACCCUCUCUGUCUCAAACACAAGAAGAAUUUCAGCGGCCACCUCCCAGGGUAAGUGACAUAAAGUCUUCAUGGUGACCUUAAGAUUAUUU
rnacentral:lncRNA from 1 species